GAGCCACCCUUAUGGGGCAACACUUGCUUCAGUGGGGCUUUGGUGCUCACUGAGUCUGCCCCCUGAGUGUGUCCCU
rfam:Myotis davidii contig126898, whole genome shotgun sequence.